AAGUACUUACGUUCACUUAGCGAAUUUUGAAAGUAUAGCCUCAGAUAGCGGAUGAGUAAAUGAGCACCAGGGUCUAGCAUGCCUCACUUGCGGUUGUGAACACAUGCUCAACAUAAUCCUAAUAUCCAACCCUUAACCCUGCCUAUCUCUAAUAUCCAUUGUUGCUCAUUUUUUGUUGCAUCCGUUAAGCGGGUUUCGAUAUCAUUUUUUAUGAAUUAAUAAGAGUUUUUCUGUCUGCUGACAAAUGCAUUAAAUUGAUUGGAAACGUAUGAAAUAGUUCUCCAUUGAUUUCCAUUUAUUCGAAAUUAAGUCUUACUUCUGACUACGUUAUCCAGCGUCAAGGUUUAAUAGUACUCCGACUACGGAGUACCUACUAUUAUUACGGAGUACUUACUCCGACUACGUCGCUUAUUCUUAGUAUAAAAUAUGUCAUCUUUACCGAGGAUUUUUCCAAGUGGACCAAAUAGGGAUGGUGAAAUUUAUUCUGGAUUACCCCUCAGAUGAGUAUUUUCGCGUUCAUAAAUGCAGUUAUUUAUGCCGUAUUUAUAAAAUAAAAUUUACAUUUUGCACUUGACGCGAUGUUUUGAUUUGAGUUGUAGAGUUUGUAGACUUGCUAGAAAAAUUUUAGGUUUCCUUUAACAUUUCUGAAGAGUGCCUUGAGUAGAGAACCUGAUGUCGAAGAUAUUUCUAAUAUUGAACGCUUGCUCCACUGAACAACAUUAAUCUUAUCUACGAGCGGUCAAUCUUCAUAAACGCCAUUUGUUCCAACUUAAACAGACACAAAUUUAAUACGGGAACUUAUAACCGCCUGUGUUGUUACAAAUUUCACGAACCUCCAGAUUGUUCCCACUAAAAGCACCGUUACUCUCAUUAGUCGGCAAGAUUAUCGGUUGGUUUAAAAAAGAUCUAUCUGAAUGCGGUGUAUGUGAUUUCAACUCCAUUAUUUUAACAUCUAAUUCAAAACGAUUAACUUGAGUAGGAUGUUUUUACCGCUUCAUUCCUUCACACUAACUCGGCUUAGUGUUCCUUACACCCGCUCCCGUACUAUUGACAUCCUCGAUUUGAAGAUGAAGGUAAUUCUUUAACAGAAAUUUUCGACCGCGGAGAGGCUUGAUAUCAACGGUUUAGCGCCUAUGAUCAUGCUAAUGAAGCAAGAAUUUGCUUUAGAUUGCAAUAUAGUGUCAAGCUUUGGUUGUCAAAAUGCACCAAGUUGGCAUUGUCAAGAGGUAUAUGGCAAAUUUGAUUGAUACAAAUGCGGACUUGUUUUGAUAGCUGAUUUCUUGCUGUUCCCUUUGUAGAAAUUUCCGAGAGAAAUUCGUAGUUGAUGGUAACAUUUCUGGAAGCGCAAGCUGUAAUGUGAUUGAGAUUGAAACCUUCUGCCGCCUUGGAAAACUGACAUUUUUAGAUAUUUGUUAUCUAAAUUGAAAAUGAACGAAUGUUCUAGAAAAUAUAUAUACAUAAGUAAAAUUGUCUAUCUGAACUGAAGCCAUUACAAUUGAUUAUAUGCGGGGUAAAACUAAAAUUUGAUCUCGAUUUUGCUGAAAACCUUGAAUUCUUGCUCUUGUUUUGACGCUGUUUGAAAUGUGAUUGUUGGGGCGGUUAGUGGAUGAGUAACGUGAUUGUUGGGGCGGUUAAUGGAUGAUUAACGUGAUUGUUGGGGCGGUUAAUGGAUGAUUUACGUGAUUGUUGGGGCGGUUAAUGGAUGAUUAACAUGAUUGUUGGUGCGGUUAAUGGAUGAUUAAUGUGAUUGUUGGGACGGUUAAUAGAUAAUGAGCGUGAUUGUUGGGACGGUUAAUAGAUAAUGAGCGUGAUUGUUGGGACGGUUAAUAGAUAAUGAGCGUGAUUGUUGGGGCGAUUUGCAUGAUAAUCUACAUGUGUUAGCAGUGCCGCUCAAGCGCCUCGUACACAAUGUCGCUCAAUUGUCCACGUACUUAAUUAACUACGUAAUUACCUAGUGAACUAGGUAGUGAACUAAUUACCUAGUACUAUAGUGAAAAGAACAGCUGCUUUAGUGCCAUGUCAGCUAAUUGCGGAGCUCAAUGUGAUUUCGAACGAAACGAAAUAAAAACUUAUCAAUCUCCUCUCAUUAAAAUUUGUUCCUGAAUUAUCAUUAAAAAUAAUAAUAAUAAUAGCAUUAAAAUACUUUAUGAGCAAAAAUUUCGAUCUCGAUCAAUUUUGUGAAUUAAAGAUAGCCCCCGGCUGUGCCGAUCUCCUAGGAUUUUCUGCUGGGAUAUAUUUAUUUGAAAGUUUCAUUAACAUAAUUUUCUCAAAAUAUUCUAACAGUAUGUAUUGGAUUAUCAUUUCCUUAGAUCCGCAGUCUUUACACGUUUUUUUCACUAAAGCCACUUUGUGAAAAUUCGUUGUUAGGGUUUUUUCCAUUGCCUAGUGCCUGGUUCCGACAUGGCAUUUAGGAACGAAUCAUCUAGUGUCAGUAUCGCUAGUGCCGGUGUCCUUUCUUUGUAAACUGAUGAAUAAAUUCGAAGCUAACUCAUGUAAUUUCUAGGCAAGAGAUUGCCGUGUGGCGAUUGAUCUGUCUAGAUCAACUAGAGAAUUAAUAAUUAAUCAAUUAAUGUACAGUCAAACAACGUCGGCCAACGAAGCAAGUCUCGCCUCUGUAUGUGAUCCCUGUCUGUGCCGCUCAUCAAGCCUUCAAGUUCUCCUUUCAUAUUCAAAAUUGUUCUUAUUUUAAAUUUUAACUAUCAACCGAUAAAUUUUUAAUUCUUAACUGUGAAUUUGACUCACGAGGCUUUUCUUUUUCUCGGUUGUUUGUGCGCUCCUUCCGGCGUUGAUGUUUUGUUGUCAAGCGGCUUGCCCACGAAAUGACCAAAGUUAUUUACAUGUUCUUCAACUUUACCUUGAUUUAUUCACUAGAAAAAUAAUCCAAACUUCAGAAAACUCUAAGAAAAUUAACGAUAUUUUCAUCUUAACGAAAGCUUGGACAAUUUCUUCAUUUUUUUGUAGUUUUUCUUUAAUUUACGAAUGCGGACUUUUCCUAUUUUUUCAAGUCUUUUAUUACUGAUUAUAAUAAUUUAAGCCAGCAAAGUUAUCAAAUUUUCAAAACUAAUGAUUUUCGACUAAAGUUUUAUUUCGACUCGGGCGUAUAUGUAAGGUGGUGAAGCGCACACUUGUAUUGUUGUGCAUACGUUUGUUCUGACUUAGCGUGGACCAACUUGUUUAAUAUAUUAGAGUAAUAUGGCUGGCUUACAGCUAUCUAUAUACAGUACAUUUCAGCAGUCUGUAGCUCUGGCUUAGAUCUUUCUUAGUAAUUAAUAAGAAGAAACGAUAGUUCGCUUAGAUUAUAUUCAUGUGGAUGGUAAUGAUGCACAUAAGUAGCCCUGUAAUAGUGUGUACCUUUGCUGCCGAUAACCCGGCUCUAAUUUUUCUUAAAGACAAGAAAUUUCCUUCAUUAGUUAAUACUGCUGGCACCUGUCAUAUUGACUUAUCAUAGCUGGAAGAAAGUUUUACCACAACGAUUUCUAUCACACAUAUUUAUCUUUGUUUUGAAUUGUUGUGAAGCCGUGGAAGAUGCUGGUUAUGUUGUCAAUGGUUAUUUUGUCAAUACAGUCGUUGUAUCGUACUAAACUCAGCACUUUUAACCUCAUGCACAUCAACGUUAAUAUUUAAUGGACUUAGCUGUGAAUUUCACUGAUGCUCAUCGGUGGUUUGGUAUUAUAAUCUCGAAGCUUGUUGCAGUACGUUUUUUUUUUAAAAGUCGAAACGUCGAGGUUGCUUUGAAGAUAUUGGUUCGUGUUGGCAGUUCACAGUCUGUAAUAAUCAUCAAAACGCUCGAACAGAUAAUAUCUGUGCAGGGAAACUAAUAAAAAAAACUCCUUAAUACCUGAAAAUUCUAACUUACUUUUGUGUUGAAGUUAUUGAUUGUUCAUUAAAAGGGGAAAAUUGUAGGACAAAACUAACAUAAUUGCUUCUUAACCGGAAGGAAGUUAGUGGCCGAUUCUUGUUACCAGGAAAAAAAAUUACUCACGUUUCCAGAACUGUAAUGCCCUAUAAAUUUUUCGAAAAAUUUCUCCGAUAAAGCGAAGGUUUCUAGCGCUGAAGAAAAGCCUUAGUUGACUUCUCGUAGAAGAGGAUCAAAGGCCGCCGCCGAUGGGUUUGGAUGUGUGCAUCUGGUGUGUUGAUGUAUACAUCGAUUCAUUCAUGUAUACAUAGAUUCAUUGAUUAUCUUCUAAUGAUCACGCUGAGAGUUUUGUGUUUACCGUCUAAAUAAGUACUUCCACUAUCGUUCUUAUCAUUGUCGCCGAUCAUUAUAAUUAUCACCCACAUAUUAUUGCUUGCAUCAUUGUAAUGGUUACGGAUGAUUGUAUUUUUGUAUUGAUAUUUAUGUAAGUUGUAAACGAUGUGGUUUUAUGAAGUAUAUAUCGGCCGGGUUUUGAGUCUCAUCUUAAAACAUUGCUGGUUAUCACUUAUUAAUUAUCACAAUUGAUCCUCCUCUUAUUGUUUGAACUAUUGUUCACUUAAGCACUGGUCAACUUUUGAAUCAGUUAAUCGUGAUUCUGCUAUUACGCGUGAACAGUAAUUUAGUAUUCCUUAUUUUUCAAUAGUUUUCACUUCCAUUACACAUGCCAGAAUCUUACCCUACGUUAUUGCUCAAAGUCUGUCGUUUAUUUAUUAUCUCGUAUAGGACGCGGGUGUCCCUCUCUAGCUAUGAUUUUUUUUGCUGUCAAGAUGGUUGUGAGUUCCGAAAAGUUGCUGGAUAUUUGACUUGUUGAAUGAUUUGAUUCUUCGCAGAUGUAUAAAUAAGUGGAUAGAAUUAACGUACCCGCAUAUGGACGGUCUAAGUCUAGUGUAUAUCUUCGUUAACUGUUUCUUGAACUGCAAAAUUUUCUAUAUUUUCAGUAAAAACUAAUAGAAAUGAAGACCGUUUGAAUAAAUCAUAAACGUCUGUCCAAGGGCUGAGAUUGUUUAUGCAAUUUCUUCAAUAUUGAAAUAGUUGUUACUCAUCUUGAUAGUACGUUCCGGUUACAAUUCUGCUUCAACUUGCUUCUUACGUGUUCAUGAAUGUUUGUUUAUUUGUUCCUCAAACUGUGCCCUCAAAAUAACGUAAGCUAACUGCGUCAUCGUUAUGAUCAAGCCAUGUUGGUAUGGAUGCGUUCACUGGAGCUUCAAUGUUUCUUGGUGGGAGUAAAAUGUUAUCUAAGACCGAACGGAUUUGCUCGAUUACGUUUAAUGAACUUAAUCGGAAUUAAAUGACUUUUGUCUUCGAAAGGAAAAGUUACUUGUUUACUUUUUUCUAAUUAUUUCUAAUCUAAUAAUAUUUUGUCGCAUUUUCGAAUCUGAAAUUUCGACAUAAGGGUCGAUUAUGUCAGUUCAGAUCACUUAAUUUACGGCAGCAUAAUUAAUUUGAUUUAGCUGCUAACUUGAAAAAUUGAAACUGAAACAACAACUUCAUAUUCUGUAUUAAUUGAACGAUGGAUGGCCGCAUGGAUGAAAAACUCUCUGAAAGUACGGUUCAUGUAAUAUUUUUAAUAUAAGAAAGUUUUCUCGAGUUGGUCUUCCUGUAGUGAUUCUGCAAGACGCACGUGAUGUCGUCACGAUGUUUGGCUGCGGUUCGUUGCUGUUCAUUUGUGACGCUUCGCCGGCAGAUUUGCGACUCGUUCGUCUAUUCGUACUUCUGCCACUACCACUUGUUUCUUGGGGUCAUUUUACGGAACUUUGAAAUCAUAUUGCGUGGGUUGUUUUUCACUACGUUUUGAGUUGAAGAUAUUAUAAUGAAUACGUUAGUACGGUAUUGAAAGUAAGUAAGAAUUCUGUAAGGUGUAGAAGGCAGUUCUGCAACAGCUCCAAAUGAACUCGUGUUCGAAACUUUCUCUGUUAGACCACGUAGUGGGAUUCCUAGUAGAUUUGAUAUUAGUGAGGAAUGAAUUUGAGUAUAAAACGAAACAGACAACUGUACUUGAAGUAGUAGUUAAAGCACUCGCUAUUUGCAGCUUUUUGGCCAAGACAAGAGAAUAGCCUACAUGUAUAAUAAUGAAUAUAUUUAUGAUAGCGACUAUGACUCAUGAUGUGUCUUACUGUACAUGUGAUUAGCUGGCAUCCCAAAGCAUUAUUCUUAGCACUAUAUUUUUUUAGACGUGAAUACAUAUUUAUAAAGCUAAUGGUCAAUGCUACAGAGCCCUUAUACCUGCUGAAGAAAUGUGGUUUUGGCAGGUACAGUCUUUAGUCCUACUUAAUGACAGCCACGAGGAUCGCCGGCUACAGUUGUUGUUGACGCGUCGACAACUUUUUGGCCUAUUUUCAGAGCAAUGAUGUUCCUUGUUGAAGGCUGCGUUCGCCCCGUCUAGGAAAGAUCAGUAAUUGCCCUAACAAAAUUUAGAGUCGCCCCAGCUUCUGGUAUUCCAAAUCAGAAGCUGACGCGCCUGUAAAUUUUCAUUGGGUGUUUUUGUGUAGUGUGCAGUCGCUGGCGUGGCUCAGUCACUGCGACUUGUCGAGUCUCAUCGAGCUAGAGUUUUCUGGCAGGAUAAUAGCACUGAUACGUUGAGAUAAUUGUUUGACUCUUCAGUGGAGCUCGUGAAUGUUUCGUAAAUAUAAUGUAUUUCAUUAUACCUAUAAAUAUUUUUUUCGUUGGCCGCGAUCUACAUGAUAUUUAUUAGGAGCCGAAAUACGCAAUUGCUUCGCUCUGUGUCAGCUUGCUUUAGUUGAUGUAUCGGUCAACUUUAGAUUAUACUCUGUUAUUCAAAUUGAUUUUGCUUUCACUGCGCGUAGAUUAUAUGCACUUCACACUCUUCUGCAGCUCUAUCAAGUGUUAACUUUUCUUGUUGAUGUUUUUCCGCCAAUUUCUUUUUAAUUUUGCACGAGACCCCAGUAACUUGCUCUAAGUUUUGUUUUCAUGUCAAAUUUUUGCAAGCUCAACAAAAUGGCUCUCGGUCACGAUUGUUAGUUUAUCAUAGUUCACUGCUUAGUUUCAUAGACGAAACUCGUUAGACUGUGGGUAAUUUUAUUGUAUUUUGUAUGAAAGCCUUAGUUGCACCGCUAAAAUGAGUUUUGUAUUUGAUUACUUAUUCAUAAUGAAGAAAUGUGAGUUUGUGGAAAAAUUGUCCCUUAUACGUUAACGUUCUCCGUAAUACUGCCUGAUAUUACACAUUGCGAGUGUUAUAUACGUCGUAUGCCAGGGUGAGUUCAACAGUUGACUACAUGCUCCUGUUAUUUUUGUUGUGACAUCAAAAUCAUAAAUCAACAUUGUCCCGAUUAUUUGCUAUCGAUUGCACUGUAUCACAAGGUAAUUCAGUUUGAUUGGUAUACAUUUGUACAAAGCUGUAUUUCUUCGUGUCUCUCUCUUUCAUCUCUUCCAUUCACGCGUGCUCUGGCGAAAUUUCAUGUUCAACAAGCUGUGUUAUAUGAAACUACUUAAACUGUACGACAAUUUUUAUUUUGAACUUAUCAUGUCAGUUUGAACUUAUCAUGUCUGCUAAAAUGUGUCAGUGAUUUAGCAGAAAAAGCAGAGAAAAACAUUUAGCACAAGUUUUUUAUAUCGAUUAGAUGCUUCAGUGCUGAAUUGGUAUUUAUUGAAAAUGACCUCAGGCCUUCACACUAAGAAUUGAUGCCAGCAGAGGCGUCGACUUUGAUUCGUAGAGUUGAAGUUCACUACAACUUGUACGUGUUUUACUCGUAAACUCUGCUCGUGCUGCACGCCGUGUUUUAUACGCAGACGAACUUCUGCGUUACAUUCAUUGUUUUUCAACAAAAAGAAUAUUGAUUCGAUGGUAUGUAUUUUAUCGAAUUCGUUGUAAAACCCGUCUCGUUCAUCAGACUGUGUUGGAACGAAGCUUCCGAUAUUAUAUUGGCAGCGCCUCUGCCAAAGAGUUGAAGAAUUCUAUUUAAUGGAGAGUUGCAGUUUCAUGUCAAUUUCCAUCUUGAUUUUUGAUUCUAGAAUUACUGUGAGUAUCGUAAAUUACUGUCGAGUUAACUUGAUUCACUUGACCACUGAUACAUGGCCAUUGAAGUUAAUUACAAACAAGUCGACAGGUGUUUUGUCAGGUCACUCAUGGUUAGUGUGGUUAGUCCUCAGUUGUGAUUCAACAUUUAUUAUUCAGUUGUUCAAUUUAGCUCAAACAAGUAGUUGAUAAUUUUGUCGAACCACAUUUUUUUCCAGAGUGCACCAUCUCAAAUUUCCCAUUAUUUUAUGUAUUCUGGUAGUAUUUUUUUUUUGUCACGUUACAAUGCCAAUAUAGACGCCACUACAAUGCUCCCUCCUCCUGUUCAGUUAUAUUUAAGUCACUCUCCCAUACGUGUGUAAUCUAUUCCUGAGAUUGGUAUCUACACUAUUAUUGUUUUAUAAAUGACUAUUUAUGAGUAUGAAAAUAAGAUGAUUUUAUCUAUGAAUAUAUAUACAAUUAUAUAUAUAUAUAUAUAUAGCUUCUUCGGGCUCUGUUGACGAUAAUAAUGUUAUUAAUGAGGGUUCUUUGUGCUGUUCGUAUAAAAUCAUGUUUUUUGUGGCUAGGGAUGUGAUUUUGAUGAGUAUAGUGUUGAUGAAAAGUUUGUACAUAUUGUGUAUAUUAUCCACGACCAGAGUCUGGUUGGUCCGUGAGGGCAAAUACAGCGAAAAACUCU